rnacentral:rRNA from 1 species
ACUCCUACGGGAGGCAGCAGUGGGGAAUUUUGGACAAUGGGCGAAAGCCUGAUCCAGCAAUGCCGCGUGUGUGAAGAAGGCCUUCGGGUUGUAAAGCACUUUUGUCCGGAAAGAAAUCUGUCUGGCUAAUACCCGGACGGGAUGACGGUACCGGAAGAAUAAGCACCGGCUAACUACGUGCCAGCAGCCGCGGUAAUACGUAGGGUGCGAGCGUUAAUCGGAAUUACUGGGCGUAAAGCGUGCGCAGGCGGUUUUGUAAGACCGAUGUGAAAUCCCCGGGCUUAACCUGGGAACUGCAUUGGUGACUGCAAGGCUAGAGUGCGUCAGAGGGGGGUGGAAUUCCGCGUGUAGCAGUGAAAUGCGUAGAGAUGCGGAGGAACACCGAUGGCGAAGGCAGCCCCCUGGGAUGACACUGACGCUCAUGCACGAAAGCGUGGGGAGCAAACAGGAUUAGAUACCCUGGUAGUC